ACAUAAUUGCCUGUACCAAUGCUCUUGCCGUCCUUCACCGGAAGGGUAGCCGCCGCAUCUGUCUCCUUUACGUCUCUGCUGCUCGAUAACCUUGAUUGAAUAAAAUUGACUCUAGAUUCAUCUUGCAGGAGGAUCUCUGUGUGAUUUGGAGCUUUGCCUUGAUUUAGUUGCGAGCAUGGGCCAUGCUUGUGGACUACUCUCAGUGAUGUCUUCUUCUCCACUGCUGAAAAACAGGUAAACACUAACGUUAAUAAUUUUUCAUAAAUUUUUUAUUACUAAUAUUAAAAUUUUCUUCAUAUUGUGAUAUUUUAAGUUUGAACUUCCAUAAAAAUAAAAUUUUUUUAAAAAAAAACCUUCACAUUUUUUCCCCCAUUCAAUACCUUCACUAGCUGAAUAGUUUUCUCAACUAACAUGGGUGAGAUUGAGUAAGUUUUUUUUUUGUUUUUUUUUUCUCCUUCUGGGUAUAUGCCAAAAACGUUAUAGAAAGUAAAGGAGAUUAAGAAAAUUAUGGAUCUAUAGUUAGCUGGUAUGAUUUUUCUGUAUGAUGGUAGCCAUUAAUAUUAAGCAGCAGAGAAGAAGUUAAAAAGCUAGAGUUAUGUAAGUAAUGACCUUUAACAGUUGAAGGUUUGCAAGAGUGGGAUGGGAGUAGAGAGCUGACUUCAAUUGUAUGGCUAUGGUGAAGAAGAAUUCUUUCUGCAAGAUUUCUUUCUUGUAAUAU
rnacentral:lncRNA from 1 species